rnacentral:ncRNA from 1 species
UUUACGGAGAGUUUGAUCCUGGCUCAGGAUGAACGCUGGCGGCGUGCUUAACACAUGCAAGUCGAACGGUGAAGCCAAGCUUGCUUGGUGGAUCAGUGGCGAACGGGUGAGUAACACGUGAGCAACCUGCCCUGAACUCUGGGAUAAGCGCUGGAAACGGCGUCUAAUACUGGAUAUGAGCUGCGGAGGCAUCUUCGUGGUUGGAAAGAUUUUUCGGUUUGGGAUGGGCUCGCGGCCUAUCAGCUUGUUGGUGAGGUAAUGGCUUACCAAGGCGUCGACGGGUAGCCGGCCUGAGAGGGUGACCGGCCACACUGGGACUGAGACACGGCCCAGACUCCUACGGGAGGCAGCAGUGGGGAAUAUU